GGCUCAGUUGGUAAAGCACAAGGCUCUUAACCUUGUGGACGUGGGUUCAAGCCCCAU
rfam:Triticum aestivum genome assembly, contig: Triticum_aestivum_CS42_TGACv1_scaffold_196007_3AL